rnacentral:misc_RNA from 1 species
AAGUCGUAACAAGGUUUCCGUAGGUGAACCUGCGGAAGGAUCAUUAAAAAAUGAGGUAUUUUAUGCCUCGUAUUUAAAACCCAACUCAUAUAUAAAUUUUUAAUAAAAAAAAAAGAAACUUUCAACAAUGGAUCUCUUGGCUCUC